GAAUUUGUAAUCUUGAGCAGCAAACCAAGGACAUGUAGGCCAACAAUGAAUGCUGAAUACAGGCAUCAAGAACUGCAAUGCCAUUCCCAUAUGCAGAUAGAGGAAAUGAUAGACCAUGCUGUGGUUCUUAUAGGCUAUAACAUGCAACAUAUUCCAAUAUUUAACAAGCUAAUUGAUUGCUGUGAAGGAAAAAAACAAACAAAUGAGAGGAAUCAAACGACUGAAAUGGUG
rnacentral:lncRNA from 1 species